AUCCAUUGAAGUGUCUCUAAUCUUCUGAAGAAGCAAUGGAUGAUCAGACUCUAGCCAAGUGACAAUCACACCACUGGUGCUCUUCCUACUUUCAGAGACAAUCGCUGGAAUGAAGCUUGCCAAAAUUCAGGCAAAUGAAUGCAAGGAAAUGUGACAAAACUGUUAGAUAGGACAGGAGGAGAGGAGAAAGCACACCUGUCUGCCAGAACAAGCAAUAACCAAUGGGAAUCAAUGCAUUUGCACUAGAUAUGAAGACAUUUGCAUAUUCUUAUUGGUAAUAAGGUAUUUGCUUCUUUGACAUGACAUCCAAUCUCUAGAUCAUUGCUGUACCAAGCUUCAUAUGACCCCAAAAUACUUAAAAUCCAUCCGUACCCCAGGUCUGUUUCUUUGAAUUGAUUUGGAGGUUGGGAAGAAGGGGGAGAGACCAUUCAAUUUUUGGAUGUGUGUGUGUGCGUGUGUGUGUGUGUGUGUGUGUGCGUGUGUGUGUGUUUAUAAUGUUCUACUGAUGUAUUUUGUAAAAACUGCCCAGAAACAUGAGAGUUGGGAACUGUCUAUACACUCCUAGAUAAAUAAGAUGGAAUUAAGGGCAGCAGGUCAACCAAAAGAAUUUGGUUCUAUCAGCAAAGGUCAAAACCAGUAUUUUUUGAUGCACAAAAACAAAAGUCAAGGGGAAUUUACAUUUCUAGAAGCCUUAAGGAGGGACUGAGGGAGAUGUCAUCCAUUCCUGACAUGCCAAACUGGUAAGUAGAGCAUCCUUACAGUGGAGCAAGGGGCAAAUAUAGACACUUGUUUAGUUAUAGUAAUGAUGAACAAAGCAUUGGAAGUGCUGAAAUAACAGGAUAGGAUCAGGUUGUCAUGGAGAAAAUCUAUCUAUGUGGUUACUAAAUAUCAACAAUGACUUGAUGGCACGUAAUCAAUUAAGGGUAUUAACUGCUUGCCUUUGUCUACUUGCAGUGCCUGCAAAUGAAGAAAAUAUAGCAACAUGGGGAUUUUAUAUCUCAAAUGUUUCUCAGUAUUUGAACAAGUAUCAUGUUAGCUGGCUUCAAAUAGCUUCAGUCAAUAGAAGUAGAGCUUAAAGUGGUUCCUGCUGUUUUAUUAGCUAAUACUGGAAGAGUUUCUUUAAAACAAAUAAGAACUCACCAACCAACAAUCAACAAUCACAGGACGUCACAGCAAAAGUUGUGGGCACUCCAACACUGGAGAUUUUAAAGAAGAGAUUUGACAACCAUUAAUCUGAAAUGGUAUAGAGUUACAUACCCACACAGCUGGUUAGACCUCCAAGUCCCUUCCAACUCUGUUAUUCUGAUAUAUUCUGUUAACAUGUUCAGGAUCCUGAGCAUGUUUUGCCCAAUCUCAAGUAAACAAAACUUUCAGGACAUAGAUAUUUGAAUUUAAAGCAGCCAUUUCAAAUUAAAAACAUUAUAGCUUAAACUAUUUUAUACAACACUAUGCUGUAGCCUAGUUCAACUAUCUGUGUGAAUGGAGGAAGGCAAAAGAAGAAGAAGAAACCACAUUAAAGAUGAGAUUGUGUAUUCUAACUAUCCUAAAAUUCAUUCAUCUUUUUGGAACCACAUCAUAUUGUUGUUUUACAUUUACUUGGCUUUGUCACUGACCAAUCUUAUCUACUUCCCAUCCUCUACUAAUUUUUGUUUCCAAAGCAAAUACUAUUUAUAUUCAUUCUGGGGUUGUUGUUUUUUCAGACUGCCGAGAUUGCUUUCAAUUUUAUUUCUACAUCUUCAAGGGAAAUUAGCUAUUAAGGCUAUACACAGACCUGGAUUUAAAGACCAAAAUGUGAUUUGGAGCAAGUGGAGGCACACAAGUGGUACUUGUGAAAACCUUAAAUAAAUGAGGUCCUUUUCUAGGAUCAUAUUUCAAUCAUGAAAGAUAACCAUACCUGCCCAUUCAAAGGCACAGACAUGAACAACCUGAAACUUACUUGUUUUUCAGAUCCAUAUUUCUGCACUGUGCUAUCAUGAUCCUAUCCAAUUUUAUCUCAACUUCAAAUUCAUCAGGAAUGUUCUCCACCUCCUCGUUAAUGUCAUUAAUUAAAAUUGAUGAAAACUAAAAGUUCCAGGAUUUGAAAAAUUUGUUGUAGUUCCAUACUGAUGAAGAACUACUGAUCUUUGAACAUUUUUCUGAACUGGAAAAAGCAGAAAUUACUGUCAGCCAUGAAUCUUACUUACGACUCACAAGGUUGUUUGUGUGGAUAAAAGAAUAGAAGAAUCUUGUAUGGUAGAGCAAAUAUAUUGAAGAACCAGUAGGAGUGAAACUCUGAACUCUGAAUCACAAAAUAACAACAAUGAUAACAAUCCACCAAAGGCUCAGGAUGCAUCCAGAUGAAUGGUUUUUAAUUGCCAAUCAAAAGACAUGUACUUACCGGUAUUCUUUUUCCUUUUAAUGAUUUUUCUUUUUCUUUUUUUCUGAUGAGGAAGCAGAUGAAAAAUAUCAGAAGGUUGUAGAUAUAACAUUUCACUGGCCAUACCCACAUCAGUAAAAAAAAUUGCAAUAGGCAAAUACAAGCUUCUUCUAAGAGAACAGUCAAGAGAAAGUUCAGAAAUUUUGUUUGGAACUUUGGUCAGCUAUGCUUAACAUCAAAGAUAGAAUGUCAAAAAUGGUCUAUAAGAUUCUACAUUGACUGUCCUGGGUAUUUCUGAUAUAUAUUAGGCACUGUGUCAAGAUGAAGAAUGGUUAAUUCUAAUCUAUUGCUGAUGCAAAUAACAAAAGUGAUUCAUACAAGGUAGCUUUCUGAGUUUAUAUUUAGUCUGUAAAACCUGUUUGAACGCCUAACCAUAUUAGUAGAGUGCUUCUUUGCUCUCUGGUUCUUUUUCAUGACAGACCUCCAGAUGUAGUGAGACUCCAUCUUUCAGAAUUUCCAGCCAGAUAGUCAGUCUGGGGAAAAUCCUUGCAAAUAUGUGGAAGGUUGCUGGUUGUAGGAGUCUACUCCUACAAAGAUCAUCAUUUUUGGUAGUUUUCUUGAAUGCAAAGCAACAGAUCUAAAUAAUACAUUUCAACAGAUUUCAGUGGUUACUUAUUACUGGAUAAUUGAGAAACAUAUGCAUUAUAUAGACACACUUAGCACACAUAGAUUUUUUAAAUUUUUUUAUUAAUUUUAUUAAAGAUACAAUUUAAAAACAUUAGACUUGUUGCGACUUGUCUGGUACAUACUUUUCUAGCACUUUUUCUUUUGUGUAUAUUACAAUAUAAUAUCAUGCAUAUUUCAUAUAUACUUUUUGUACAUUCAAUCACACUUCAGUUACAUGUAUAUUCCCUUUGUACCUAUUCAAAUCCAAUUUAGAUUUGGGGAGAAAAAUAAAUAAAAUAAAAUUAAGAAAUAUUAGAGAGGAAUAAAUUGGAAGCACACAUAGAUUUAUAGCAGUGGUGAAAUUUGCCACUGGUUUGCUGGCUGUGCACGUGUAGUGCACACCAAAUGCAUGCUUUGCACACAUGCACGGUGCACAUAAAACAUAUGCUGCACACAUGCAUGCACAGUGCACACAAAAUGCACGCUGCACAUGCACAUGCACAUUAUGCGCUAAACAUGUAGAAAAAGGAGGCUUGGGAAGGUAAGUAUAACUGCAAGGGGGAGGAACAGCUGUGCCAUGCGAUUUAGAUUCAUUAGCUGCUUUCUAGCUAUUUUAAAUUGUGUGGCACAGCUGAUCAUUGGAAAUACCAGUUUGGAGGUACCGGUAGGGUUUUUUUACUACCAGUUCACCCGAACUGGUAGUUUUUAUCACUACCGGUUCUCCUGAACCAGUGCGAACCGGUAGGAUUUCACUGCUGGUUUAUAGACACAAAACUCAGAUGUCUUUCAAAGGGGAGGGGAAAUAAAAGAUUUUAGAAAAAGUAUUUGAAUGUAGAAAGGCUUUUCUUUACUUGAUUCAUAUCCUAUAAUAUCAUUGUUCUAAAUUGCUAAAGUGCUUCCUUCUUUCUUCUCAGAAAUACGGAAUUUAAAAUGCACAAUGCUUCUUACAAGUACACACUUCAAAUUUUAAACUGGAAAAGAAGCUGCAGACCAUCAGAAAAGACCAAGAAUGUUGGGGAUAAGGAGAAGCUAUGGCUAGUAAAGGGAAGAGUAGUGCCAGGCAGAAAGACAAGAUUAAGGACAUUUGUUGUUAGUUGUGAAGUUGUGUCCGACCCAUCAUGACCCCAUGGACAACAUUCCUCCAGGCCUUCCUGUCCUCUACCCUCUGGAGUCCAUUGAGCUCACACCUACUGCUUUGGUGACUCCAGCCAGCCACCUCAUUCUCUGUCAUCCCCUUCUUCUUUGUGGAAAAUAAGCUGUGCCAUAAAAGGUUGAGGAUUUAUUCAAGGAAGAAGAAGGAAGUGGGAAAAAUGUGAGUAGGUACUGAUGGGAAAACAAGUUCAGGAGGAAGUUUACAGGUAGACUUCAACUUACAAGAGUUUGUUUAGCGAUCAUUCAAGUUACAACAGCACUAAAAAAGUGACAAGACUCUUUUUCACACUUAUGACUGCUGCAGCAUCCUCAAAGUCACAUGAUCAAAAUUCAGAUGCUUGGCAACAGACAUGUAUUCAUGAUGGUUGCAGUGCCAUGGGAUCACUUUUUUGUGACCCUCUGACAAACAAAGUCAAUGGGGAAGCCAGCUUCAUUAAACAACCGUGUUACUAAUUUAACAACUGCAGUGAUUCACUUAACAACUGUGGCAAGAAAGGUCGUAAAAUGGGAGGAAAAUUCACUGAACAAAUGUCUUGCUUAGCAACAGAAAUUUUGGGCUCAUUGUGGUCGUAAGUUGAGGACUACCUGUACAAGGAGUGGAAUAAAGCACAUUGCACCAGGCAUGUGCAGAGGGAGGAAGUCAAAAGAAAAUUAAGAGACAUGCAAAAAUGUUCAGGGCUUUGAUCACAUGGUUGUGGUUGCCAUAUUUAUAGAUGUUGCUAUAUAAGUAUUUUGAUUAUAAAAUAUAACACAAACUAAAAAAGAGAAGAGGGAAAAAAGAAUAAAAAUUCAAUGACAAAGGUUACAAACAAUUAUUUCUUCAUCCUAUGUCCCAUCCCUUAUCAAUAGACACAUUGGUUACUUGUCCUUGCUGUAGUUGACAGGUCUACUUUUCCACAGCUGUCUUAAAUUCAUCAUACUUCCUUCAGAAACGCAGUUGCCAUCUUAACUUUCUCUUUCUCCUUCUCUCUUACUUACACUCACACUCACACUCUGUGAGUAUCUGAGGAUACAGCCAGAUUUCACCUGUUUGCUAUAGGCUACAGCCUACAAAACAUCUUUGGUCUACCAAAGAUGGCUUUGUGGAAGACUAUGGCAGUGAAAAGGUUAAGUGUUUUCUUCCUUCACCAUUUAACUAUUUCAUUUUCUUCCUUCAUAAUAGAAGCUCUUUGUAUACACAGAUUAGGGAUGUGAAAGUGGAUAGAUCUGUAUUUCCAGUUUGUAACCCUUUCAUACAUUUUCCUGAUUUUUUAUUUUUUCCCCCUUUUCAUUCAAACUGCAAAGUUAAUUAUACAUUCCAUUUGAAAAUGCGUAGAGCAGACAAUGCUAGGUGACAGCACUAACUUGAAAAGGUAGAUAGAAAAAGGGUACCUGUUCAGUAACUAGGUGAGGGAUUAUCAAGAAAUGCUGGAUCUAUAAAAUAGGCUGUGAAGUUGGAAAAAAAAAAUGACAACAAUAUUUUUCCUGUUACUUAAAGUAUUAAAUGGGUGUACAUAUGAAGGCCUUAGGAAUUGAGCUUGGC